GAUGAAUAAAUUAUCAAGGCCCAUUUAUUUUUCAAAAUUAAGUCCUAAAUUUUUUUAAAUUAAGUCCUCCUAAAUCUUAUUUUUAUUUUAAAAAUUUAGCUAAUAAUUCAACUCUUAUAUUUAAGAAAAAUACAAAUUGUUGUAAGAAAUUGAUAUGAAAAAAACUUAAUUUUUAAAACAAAGAAUAAAUAAACGAAAUAGUUGUCAAACGGGAUCGGAGUUCGUAAUAUCAACCUUAAAGUUAGAGGUUGGAACCUAUAGAGGUAGAUCUAUGAAGGAGUGUCACACCCUCUCCCAGAUUACCUUCCCAAUCUUAGGAGGAGAUGCGACGACAGUAGAGGCCAACCUUUUUAUGACAUCCACUGUCCUCCUCAAUCUUAGACACUCACACCCUUGCAUCCUGGUAAUAGCAAUGAAAAUGCAAUCAACUAGAUAUUCCUUAGCAACUUACACAACAAUCUUACAAAAAACACAAUUCAUAUUAUAUCUACAUGUCAAAAUCGUUAAUAUUACAAAGCCCCCUUCUCAAGUUUAUCCUUAUCCCUAAUAUGAACAUAUUAAUUUACAAGCUUAUCCACCCAACUAUUUAAAUUCUGGAUUCCUUUAUAAUAUUGGAUCUUUGAGUAGCAGACUGACAGAUCAUGUAAACCCUUGAACUUGUUUUACUAGUUAAUUAAGUUUAAGUCUUCUUGGUUAUUAAGAUGUGUAUAAGGUCGGUGAAAAAAAAUAGUUAAGUAUGUAUAGUGAAUAAUGUGUCUGAAAUAUAAGAGAAGGAAAAGUUUCUAAGCGUGACUAUAUGCGUUCAGGUUGUAACACGGUUGAUGCGUAGAGAGUUGAAGAAGUCUAUUAAUGUAAGCCAGAAAAGGGCAAGAAAAUAUGUUAAGUAUGGAACGUUGGGUUCUUAGGUGAAGUAGGAACAAGUUAACACCUAAAGAUAGGAGAGACAUGGAAUUGGUAGACGCCAUGUGACUAGAGGACCAAGGAGGGGGCGUUGUGGCUAAGUAUAACAAGUGGUAUGUAGGGUUUAUACGACCAACUUUGUAUACCAUUGUUCAGGGCUAAGCCGACGAAGGAUGCGGUAGACAAUCAUGCAUUGAAGAGAGAAGUUCCGAAUGCUCGCAAGGCCAUGCAAUCAAUCUUAAGAUGAGGAAUUUAGCUUAAUUAAUGAGUAAGUGAGCCAGAUGGCAGCCUUGCAAAUGUCAAUAAAGGGAUAAGCUUGCCAGGUGGCAAUUAAUUAAGCAAACUCUUCAGGUAAACCCAAGUAUAAAUAUGCUUAACCAAGAAGGAGACUGUUUUACCAAAAUUUUUCUAACACCUAAAUGAGGGAGUGUUGUUGCCAUCUAAAGAUUUUGAAAGUUGAAGAACUCUCGAUCCACAAAAAGAAAAUUUGAGGUAUUUCCAUUCGAUUCUGGAGAAAAUAAUGCUCAAAUUCUAAGGCAACUACAUACGAAGAACACGCAAGCAGCUGACUCAGUGAUAUUAUGCCUUAACACGUACAACAUAGCCAGUUCAUAACAAAGGCGUUUGAAGUACGUCGCAUGUAAGCAUUCAUCACAUAGAUUGGGAAGUGUUUCAGCGUUUACCCAAAUACCUUGAGAAAAGACUCCCAAUUGUCAGCCAAGUUACAAGGGCAGACACAAAUAGGAGAGGCGUACAACUCCUUGGAUAAGUAGCUAAAUACAGAGAGUGACAAGUUUUAAUACAUUUUUUCUAAUAAUAUGCGUUGACGCAAGGGGGAAAUUGCGAUCAUAGGAAAUCAUU